rnacentral:rRNA from 1 species
AUUGAACGCUGGCGGAAUGCUUUACACAUGCAAGUCGAACGGCAGCACGGGGGCAGCCCUGGUGGCGAGUGGCGAACGGGUGAGUAAUACAUCGGAACGUGCCCGGUCGUGGGGGAUAACGUAGCGAAAGUUACGCUAAUACCGCAUACGAUCUGAGGAUGAAAGCGGGGGACCUUCGGGCCUCGCGCGAUCGGAGCGGCCGAUGUCAGAUUAGGUAGUUGGUGGGGUAAAGGCCUACCAAGCCGACGAUCUGUAGCUGGUCUGAGAGGACGACCAGCCACACUGGGACUGAGACACGGCCCAGACUCCUACGGGAGGCAGCAGUGGGGAAUUUUGGACAAUGGGCGCAAGCCUGAUCCAGCCAUUCCGCGUGCAGGACGAAGGCCUUCGGGUUGUAAACUGCUUUCGUACGGAACGAAAAGGCUCUGGCUAAUACCUGGGGCUCAUGACGGUACCGUAAGAAUAAGCACCGGCUAACUACGUG